rnacentral:rRNA from 1 species
GACGAACGCUGGCGGCGUGCUUAACACAUGCAAGUCGAACGGUGAACUCCGCUUGCGGGGGGAUCAGUGGCGAACGGGUGAGUAACACGUGGGCAACCUGCCCUCAGCUCUGGGAUAACUCCAAGAAAUUGGGGCUAAUACCGGAUAUGACCGCUGACCGCAUGGUCUGGUGGUGGAAAGAUUUAUCGGCUGGGGAUGGGCCCGCGGCCUAUCAGCUUGUUGGUGGGGUAGUGGCCUACCAAGGCGACGACGGGUAGCCGGCCUGAGAGGGUGACCGGCCACACUGGGACUGAGACACGGCCCAGACUUCUACGGGAGGCAGCAGUGGGGAAUAUUGCGCAAUGGGCGAAAGCCUGACGCAGCGACGCCGCGUGGGGGAUGACGGCCUUCGGGUUGUAAACCUCUUUCAGCAGGGACGAAGCGAAAGUGACGGUACCUGCAGAAGAAGCACCGGCCAACUACGUG